CGAAUGAUUCGUCUACGAGCGCGGGCCCAUGUACGCAUGGACUCCGAUCACUCUCUGCUGGGUUUUCUGACCAACUCUGUGGAAACAGGCUUCGCCUUAGGGAAGCAGUGCAGCGCAAAUUCGCGUUUCAUUAAACCACCAAAUUUUUGCUGAAGCGCGAAAAGUCUACCAGACUGCCUGGAACAGAGGAAGAAUCAACUGUGUGGAAGAUAAGGUUUUUUGCCUGCUCGGCUUUAGUUUGUUGGACUUUGAUACAAACUGGAGUGUACCUAGAAGCUUAACGGGGUAUGAAGUAAAAUCCUAUAAAUAUCAGUUGCUCCACCAUUUUGGCCACAAACGUAUGUGUAGUUGAGCUGGUGUUCUAUCCUUCUCUUAUAUCCCUUCUGCUAACAAAGUCUGUCUCGUUUACAUUUUUCUUAGAGUGGUGAAUUAACCAUAAGAAUGCAGAACUGAAGUUAGUAAAUAAGCUUUAAUCAAAUAUCCUUUAAAGUAGUAAUGGGAACUCAUUGUUACGGGACCUCAGCUUUUAACCCCUCGUCCUGUCCUCUGGGUUGGAUUGGUUGAAUAAGAGACUGUUUUCAAGCUUUUCGUCUGUGAAAACUAAUACAGAUAUUUUUUGUUUCUUUUAAAAGGAUAAAAGCUUUAUCCUGUCGACUCCUGCCUGUGUAGUUUGUGGAACAAGAUCCGAAAAUUUCUGAAUUCAACCUGCGAGACUCCUCUCCAUUAAUACAUGAUGGCGCGAAAAUAGAUCAAGAAGUAGCGGAGGUGUGGCCAGUGAUGGAAAAAAAAAAUCCCGAAGAAGAAUCCUCUCUGCUUGUGAGAAAAAUAGUGAAAUUACUUAAUAUUCAAGUAAUUAUGGCACAACCACCAUUAAAAAGAUAAAACUUAUUAAUGAUAUAGGUAUUAUUGAUUCAGCGGUUUUAAAUAUAUACGAUUUCUGGGACAAAUAUCAUUGUAAAUGGAUAUUACUGGUUAGUUUUGCUAAAUGAGGCAGAUUUAGAGUAAGAAAGUUCGUCAGUACUAAUUUCUGGUUUAAAUUAUUCAGCAAAGAAUUUUCUACAAAUACAUAUAAAUAUAUAUAUAUAUAUAUAUAUGAUUAAUCUUUUAAAUGUAAAUUUACUUUGUUUCUUGCUUUCAUAUUUAAGUACAAACAACACAAUGGGCUACCUGAGCCACGGGUAUCUAAUCCCAAUUUUUAGCGUGUAAGCUCUCAAACUUAACACUAAACUACUGGAGGACCAAAGGUAUAUCUGCACUCUGUUCACCGCAGGGAAUCGAGCCCUGGAUUUUAGCGUUGUAAGUCCAUUAUUUUACCGCUGACCCAACGGGGGCUCGUUUCGACAGAGACAAUGCAUAACUUAUUACUUUUUCCCUAGUGGUGAUCCCCUGGAAGGACAGAGGUAACUCUUCGGAUUUACAACGCUAAAAUCAGAGGUUUGAGUUCCCCUCAGUGGACACAGCAGAUAGCCCGAUGUGGCUUUGCUAUAAACAAAACACACGCAUACAUACUUCCCCUAGUGGCUCAACGGUUAGUUUGACGACUUAUAACUCUAAAAAUCGGGUUUCGAUACCCGUAGUUGGCAUAGCAGAGAUAGCUCGUUGUGAGACUUGCGCUUUACAACAAACAAACUAUUAUGUUUGUUGCUCCGUAAUUUGUACAUAUUGUGAAACAGUUUCUUUGGUUAAAUAAUUGAGUUACAAUUUAAAGUUAAUUUACUUAAAUAUCUUGCUUUAAUGGUAAGUUUUAUAACUGGUAGUUUAAGCGUAAUACUAGGACGUACUUUAUUCAGUGAUAAAAAUCCACCAUUUUGUUAGAAGACGCUGUGUUUAUUAAUUCCAUUAACCUCCUCAAAGUAUGUUGUUAUUUUAAAAAAUACAUCGCCAUUAAUAUGAUCAUUGACUUAAAGUUUGUUACUGUAUGUUGCCAUUUAAUCGUCUAUUAGUACAAUAUCUGGUUAGUAUUACUGGUGAACACAUCACAUAGAAUUAAGAUUUUACUUUAAGAAAAUACUCAUUGAAUCAAUAUCAGUAAUAAUUGGAGUACCCCGGGGUUCUAUUUUUUGUGAUGAACAGAGUAGAAAUUGCCUAUUGUGUAUCUUUGCACUAGGAAAACAACAACAUCUUUAUGGAAAUAACAAUGAAUAAAUCCUAUAUUUUUCAGUUUUCCUCAAAUUAGUUUAGUCUAGGUUGUAAAGAAAAUCUUCACAACUACAGUAAUGGAAAUAUUUGUUGCAUCACCCACUUUUUUCACAUUUUUUUCUGGAAUAAUCUUCUGUUUUGAGGACAUAAUGCAUGUAGGUGCAAAUAUAAGUUUCACGGAUGAUUCAAUACUGUCUAAUUAUUCCCUCAGCAGCUUUUAUAGGCUAUCUGGGUAUUGCAUCAGCUAUUUUUUUUGGCUAUAAAUAGAGGUUCUUACUGAUAGUCAGUUUAGGAACCUAUCUGCUUGUGAUACUACCAUGACCAAGGAUUGCGAGUUAACUCCACGGAAAAAAAAGCAGUCAUUGUUUCUUUGACCAAAGAGGGGCUUUCGACAAGGCAUAUUGCUAGAAAAAUUAAAUUUAACCAGUCUACUGUGAGCUGCUGGGUGCAGAUAUAUAGAGAGAGACUGAUUGUGUGGAGUAGCGGAAGGAAAUGGGUAAAAAAGAAAGCUUCCACAGCAGUUAACGAUCGUAUUCUGAAACACAUGAGCCUACAAAAUCGUCGACUGUCGUCGAGGGAUCUCAAAAGAGCAUAGCAGGAAACUUCAGAGGUCACUGUCACCGUGCGCUCACCCUGUUUUCAUCUGUGUUCAGCCGUUUUCACAGCAAGACAGUGAAUAAAGAAACCCCUUCUCACCAACAAGACGAGGCUCAACUGGACCAAAGAGCAUGUUGACUGGACUGAAGCAAUGUGAACCAAAGAAUUUUCUUAGAGUGAUCAAAGAUUAACCUUCACGGGUCUGAUGGGAAGCACUUUGUUGAUCAAUGUGGAGAACAGUUUCACCCAAUGUGUUUAAAUGGAAAUGUGAAGUAUCCGAAGAGUCGGGUGACAUGGAGAUGCAUCUCUGGCCAGGAUGUGGGACGCCUGCAUUUUGUGAAAAGUAUUGUCAAUGCCGACAAGUACAUCAAGUUCUAGUUAAAGCCAACAAUUUGGGAUCACUUUGGUGGAGCUGACCGGUGCACAUUCCAGGAUGACUCUGCUCUAUGCCAAAGAGCUAAAAAGGUUGGUAACAUUUAUGCAAUCUAUGCAGCAGACGUGAAAUAAAGAAGAAAUUUCACUCUACGUGUAUUGAAAAGAGACAUUAGCUUUUAUUUCAUUGCUUCAGAUGAAGGACUGUUUAGAUCUGAAUCCUAUCGAAAACUGUUGAAAAGUAAUGGGUAAUAAAGUGUAAGAGAAGCAACAGAAAGAAGUGUAAGAGAAGCAACAGAAAGAAGUGUAAGAGAAGCAACAGAAAGGCACUUUGGAACUUCAGGAAACUCUAAUCCGCGUGUGCUAUCUUGAACUCGCCACUACCUACAUUCAGUUCCUCGUGCACUCUAUGCCACGACGAUGCUAAGCAGUUAUCAAGUCCAGAGGGAGCACAACCAACUGUUAAAACAAGAAACAGGCUCUGUGACCAAUUUUGUCAACUACAUUAGUAGCAUUAUCCUUAAAUCUAGGUUUUCUUCUUCACAGAACAUUUUCGUAUUUGCCAAAUAUUUCCUGAUCAUCUCCUACGAUACGUUUGUAACGGUUGGUUUGUUAAUAAAGAUGUAUAUAUAUGUGUUUGGAUGGCUGAAAUAUGAGUCAGCUUACACUACACAAUGUUCAUAACCGUUUUACACUAGUUCUGACACUUUCACAAUGCACAAUCUCGUAAGAAAUUUCAGGAACCAAGAAAAGUGUGAAAAACUUUGGGUGGUGCAAUCAUUUUUCCAUCACUAUAAAUGUAAUUGGUUAAGCAACAACAAAAAGUCUCUGUGUGUAAAAUUUAUCUUAUUUUUAAAAUGAUGAUUCUGUCUGACUGAGAAAAAUAUUGUAAAUUUUAUUGAUCGAGAACUAAAAUUCCGUAUAAAAACAGAUUGAGACUCUUAAAACAAUCUUUGUUUCUUCUUACUGAAGGGUUUAUUUUAUCCGGAUUAAUUACAAUGGCAGAGUUCUAAAGGAAAUUACUUAACAUACGUUUCAUUAAAACCCAAUACACACUGAACAACUUGCAUGUAUUUACAAACUUUAUUAGAAACUUUUCACAAAUACCAUUACUACAACCCCAUGAAACAGACAGUGACAUAAUGACAUCAUUUAUUAAUAAGUUUUACAAAAGCACAAAGAAAUGGCUUUCUGAUAACAAAGUAAAUUCAUUCGUGCUAAAAAUAUUUAGAAUUGGAAACCUACAUAACAUAAAUUAUGAAAUAAAAAGCCAAAGUUACAAAACAGAAAAAUGAGAUCAUUGAGUUUGUUUCGGUGGAUCGUUUACUCACACAGUAAAAGAAAAGUGAGAUUUUUUUGUAAAUCUAAAAACAAGCUACAAAAGAUCUGUCAAAAACAUGUUGCAGGUUUUGAAAAAAAAUUAUCAUCUGUAAAAUAUUAUUCAAGUAAUAUCAAACAAUUAGUGGAAUAAUACGAUAAAUUAUUUUAUUACUACCACUACUCAGAAUACUUUACGUUCAGCGGUGGUGGUAUUUACGUUAAUUUAUUUACUUUUUCGUCUUACCCAUUUAUAAUCUUACUUAAUGUUGAUGCCUCCUAGAAUAUUUUUAAAAUUUCAGCCAUUUUAUUGAUGUUAGUUUUUAUUCCCCUAAGCCUCCAGAAUACCUUAUUAUAAUAUUUAUACAUCCAUGCAUGUUAGUAAAAAAUAAGCCAGUUAACAUAUUAUAGAACAUUAAUAACUGUCUUGUUUCAUCAUUUUAUGUAAAGUAGAAAUUCCAUCUAAUUAAUGUUUUACAAAUGCCAUCUUAGGCAAUAUCUCGUCAUGAAUCUUCCAGUAGGUUAUCUGCUUUUUUAUCACAAUAUACAGUAGACUUAUGCCUAAUUUAGGUUCAUUUAAAAGUGUCAUGCGAUUUCAUCUUCAACUACUAAAGGACAGAUUUAGUUCGUAACAAGAACUACUGACUAAUUUUUCUAGUUAAAUUAUUAUUUAAAGAUAUAAUCUGUUACAAUUGUCUUUUCUUGAGAACGAUAUCACGAGGUAUUUACUGUCUUUAGAAGCUAGAAAUGUCUUCUUUUACAGCAUAUAUAUCACAUGAAAUAACUUUAUUAUAUUCUUACUGAAUUCCUAACAGUAAAAAUAUUAUUUAAAGUUAUUAGUUACCUCUAGUACCCUUUGUAAGUUUACGUAAAACAUAUACAUAUCAAAACUACCAUAGAACGUUCAAAAUUCCCUUAAUUUUUAGUGACUGUUUUGUUUCUAAAUAAUUUUGUAAGUUUGAAAAUUCCUGACAUAAAGUCCACGUCUUGUUUAACCAGUUAUCUAGAUUUUUUUUUCAUUAAAUAUUUGUUUCUUUUCAGUACGUUUAAGCGUAUAUAAUCGUGACUACCUAUUCAUUCUGUCUCUAUUCAUAAACAUAAAUGAAUAAAUUUCUAAGUUUGAUAUGUUGUUGUUUACACUUGAAAUGAUGCUGGCGCCUCUUCACCAACAUAUGAGGAAGAAAAAAUUGUAAUAUUGAGAUAAAAAAAUCAAAUAAUUUAAUUUAAGUAAGUAAACAUAUUGUAUUAAAGCAUAAAAUUUCAAGUAAGAAUUUUUUCUUCUGUUAAUCAAAAUAUAAAAUAUUACUCGAAACGUAGAUUUGUCGUUUAUAUAAGUAUAGUUUUAAUAGUUAUCAUUUCUUCUUCUCAAACAUGUACAUAUUUCUGAUGCUUUUUUGUAAUCAUCAAAUCACGUCAUUGACAAAAUAUCAUUCUGUGCGCUUUCGAGUGAUUUUUGAAAUACACACACACACACAUACAUUAAGCCUAACAUCCACAGAAGAACUUAUGAAUAUUGUAUUAUUUGUGGCUCACAGAACCAAAAGUUUUUCCGUCGUUUAAAGUUUUAUGACAUCAUCAGUUAAACUUCAUAUUUCUAAAUUUGCUAAACAAAACAAAUUGUAACUGAGCAACUGAGUAAAUUUUGAAAUUAUACUGAAGAUAAUGAAUUCCAAAAAACUCAGACACUUGACAAAAAACGAACAUGAUCACGUUACUUUUUUCGCAUAUUUAAAUUACCUGAUCUUGAAAUAAAAGAACUUUAUGAUAGAUCUCUAUACUAACAACAACAAAAUUCCGUGUGAAAAGACAAAGGAAAUUUUUAAUGGAAUUAAUAAUAAUUUAUUUCCAGGAAUGUUUUUCAGCAUAAUUUUCCAUAUCCACGUGAUUUUACAUUUUCCACUUUGUCUUCUUAAGGAACGUUUUUUUUUCUUUGCUAAACCAUGAUAAAUGCAUAUCAUUCUUAUUCCCUUGCUAUUAUAGAACCACAUAAGUGCAAGUGAAUACGUCAAAAUUUAAUUAGCUCUUAGAAGUUUGAAGUUAUUAAAUCAGUUCUCGUUUUCGUAUACAAAACUUUAAACGAUUAAAAUGAUAAAUUAACAAGAAUGAAAAAGUUGGUACAACGAGUGUUAACAAAAGAUAAUGUGGAUUCGAAUCCAGUUAUAUAUAAACAUUCUUUUCUACAGAAUGUUUCGAAGUUUUACAGAUUCACAUAUGUCUUCACGAUCUUUGAUAUUUAAAAUGUUGUCUUAAGAGUCGUAAAUAGAUUCCUGUAAGAAUAAUAAAAUAUUAUCAUUUUGUUAUUUAGUUAAUAAUUAAUAGUUUCGUUAGAAUAGUUUUAUUGAAAUGUGUUUAUUGUUGUGUUGGACACGAAUAGUUUCUCUAAUUUCUUAAAUCCUUCAGUCAUUACCAUUGACAUUCAUAAUUUGUUGUUGUUGUUGAUAGAGUUACGUUUUUUUUUUAAACCGGAUUGUAUUUUCUGACUAGUCAAAUCCAUGCUCCUUUUUCAAUGUAGUUAAGCUCUGAAAAAUCAUGUUCAUAUAUGUAGCAUCACAUUUAACACAUCGAUAUUCCUACAACAGAAGUGACGGCUGUAAAUCUUUCUAUUCUUUAGUUUUGGUUGAGAUCUGAAAAUCGUGCUUUGCUGUAUUUACAAUAGUUAAUUUAUUGGGUUUAAUUUGGUUUUCUUUCGAUUUUAAAAUGUGAAUGUGCUGAUAACGAUAUUAGAAAUGCCUUAGAAUAUAUUUGGGUGUUCUAGUGCACUUUUUUUUUAUUACGGGGUGUUAAUCUUUCUUCAGACUACAAUAUCAUUUUUAUUAAAAAAUAUACCUAGUAUUAAGUUGAUAGCAUCCGUGGAGUCAGCCUAAGCUAGUUCUUAUUUUCAUUAACAUUAGUUUUCUAUAUAUACCUGUGAAGGAAUAAUUAUAAGUAUAUACAUUAAACUUUUAAAUCUAUCAAUGAGAGAAGAUAGGUAGGUAUCUUCUGUAGUCAUUAAACUAUACUAAGGUCGUAGACUCAGAAAAUGAUUGUCAUCUUGCUGAUGUCAAGUAAUUAGAAUAAAACAUGCUUAAGUUACUUACUCUGAAAAACUCCUUACCCGAGACAAACUUGUACAAGUGUUAGAUCAUCAUAUUAACCAGCCUUCUCGGUCGUUUAAAGUAUUACUUGAAGGAUAUUUCUGGUACUAAAGGAAAUGUUACGAUAACAUAUACCUUCCAUGGGCAAGAAGUGCACAAAUUGAACACCACUCAACUGAAAGGGAGUACUACGAGAAAGUAAUACACAAAGUGAAUACUCCUCUACUGAAGAGAGUGCAGCAGAUAAGAAAUGCACAAAGAGAACGUCCCCUCAGCUGAAAGAGAGUACUACGGGUAAGAAAUGCACAAAGGGAACAUCCUCCUCUCCUCAACUGAAAGAGAGUACUGCGGAUAAGAAUUGAACAAAGGGAACACCCCUUCAACUGAAAGAGAGUACUAUGGGUAAGAAAUGAACAAAGAAACCCCCCUCAACUAAAAGAGAGUGCAGCAGGUAAAAAAUGCACAAAAGAACAUCCUCCUCAACUGAAAGAGAGUGCAGCAAGUAAAAAAUGCACAAAGAAACCCCUCAACUAAAAGAUGGUACUACAGGUAAGAAAG